UACGUAGGCAGCGAGCGUUGUUCGGAGUUACUGGGCGUAAAGGGUGUGUAGGCGGUUGUUUAAGUUUGGUGUGAAAUCUCCCGGCUCAACUGGGAGGGUGCGCCGAAUACUGAAUGACUUGGAGUGCGGGAGAGGAAAGUGGAAUUCCUGGUGUAGCGGUGAAAUGCGUAGAUAUCUGGAAGGAACACCGGUGGCGAAGGCGGCAUCCUGGACCGAUACUGACGCUGAGGAGCGAAAGCCAGGGGAGCAAACGGG
rnacentral:rRNA from 1 species